UUACUUUUGAAAGUGUUAAGUAACUCUAUACAAUUCUUGUAGAAAGUGAAAGGGAAUGCCGUGAGAAUCGGCAGCAAUACCCGUUGCUGUAAGUCUUUUACCUCUUUUCGGAGGAACUAAAGUACACUAUGUCACUGUUAAUAAAUAAUGGGAAGGCACUUUAGUUGGACAAGCCAGAAUACCUGCUUAACACAUAACAAAAUG
rnacentral:ncRNA from 2 species